UACAGAGGUCUCAAGCGUUGUUCGGAUUCAUUGGGCGUAAAGGGCGCGUAGGCGGCAUGGCAAGUGGAAGGUGAAAUCCCUCGGCUUAACCGAGGAACUGCCCUCCAAACUGCUUUGCUUGAGGCCGGGAGAGGUGAGUGGAAUUCCCAGUGUAGCGGUGAAAUGCGUAGAUAUUGGGAGGAACACCAGUGGCGAAGGCGGCUCACUGGACCGGUUCUGACGCUGAGGCGCGAAAGCGUGGGGAGCAAACGGG
rnacentral:rRNA from 1 species